UGCUGGAGGUAUCAGAAGUGCGAAUGCUGACAUAAGUAACGAUAAAGCGGGUGAAAACCCCGCUCGCCGGAAGACCAAGGGUUCCUGUCCAACGUUAAUCGGGGCAGGGUGAGUCGACCCCUAAGGCGAGGCCGAAAGGCGUAGUCGAUGGGAAACGGGUUAAUAUUCCCGUACUUGGUGUUACUGCGAAGGGGGGACGAAGAAGGCUAGGCCGGCCGGGUGACGGUUAUCCCGGUUUAAGCGUGCAGGUGGGUGGUUUUGGAAAAUCCGGACCGCCUUAACACUGAGGCGUGAUGACGAGGCGCUACGGCGCUGAAGUGGUUGAUGCCCUGCUUCCAGGAAAAGCCUCUAAGCUCCAGGUAACAUCAAAUCGUACCCCAAACCGACACAGGUGGUCAGGUAGAGAAUACCAAGGCGCUUGAGAGAACUCGGGUGAAGGAACUAGGCAAAAUGGUGCCGUAACUUCGGGAGAAGGCACGCUGACAUGUAGGUGAAGUGAUUUACUCAUGGAGCUGAAGUCAGUCGAAGAUACCAGCUGGCUGCAACUGUUUAUUAAAAACACAGCACUGUGCAAACACGAAAGUGGACGUAUACGGUGUGACGCCUGCCCGGUGCCGGAAGGUUAAUUGAUGGGGUCAGCGCAAGCGAAGCUCCUGAUCGAAGCCCCGGUAAACGGCGGCCGUAACUAUAACGGUCCUAAGGUAGCGAAAUUCCUUGUCGGGUAAGUUCCGACCUGCACGAAUGGCGUAAUGAUGGCCAGGCUGUCUCCACCCGAGACUCAGUGAAAUUGAACUCGCUGUGAAGAUGCAGUGUACCCGCGGCAAGACGGAAAGACCCCGUGAACCUUUACUAUAGCUUGACACUGAACAUUGAGCCUUGAUGUGUAGGAUAGGUGGGAGGCUUUGAAGCGUGGACGCCAGUCUGCGUGGAGCCGACCUUGAAAUACCACCCUUUAAUGUUUGAUGUUCUAACGUGGACCCGUGAUCCGGGUUGCGGACAGUGUCUGGUGGGUAGUUUGACUGGGGCGGUCUCCUCCUAAAGAGUAACGGAGGAGCACGAAGGUUGGCUAAUCCUGGUCGGACAUCAGGAGGUUAGUGCAAUGGCAUAAGCCAGCUUGACUGCGAGCGUGACGGCGCGAGCAGGUGCGAAAGCAGGUCAUAGUGAUCCGGUGGUUCUGAAUGGAAGGGCCAUCGCUCAACGGAUAAAAGGUACUCCGGGGAUAACAGGCUGAUACCGCCCAAGAGUUCAUAUCGACGGCGGUGUUUGGCACCUCGAUGUCGGCUCAUCACAUCCUGGGGCUGAAGUAGGUCCCAAGGGUAUGGCUGUUCGCCAUUUAAAGUGGUACGCGAGCUGGGUUUAGAACGUCGUGAGACAGUUCGGUCCCUAUCUGCCGUGGGCGCUGGAGAACUGAGGGGGGCUGCUCCUAGUACGAGAGGACCGGAGUGGACGCAUCACUGGUGUUCGGGUUGUCAUGCCAAUGGCACUGCCCGGUAGCUAAAUGCGGAAGAGAUAAGUGCUGAAAGCAUCUAAGCACGAAACUUGCCCCGAGAUGAGUUCUCCCUGAGACUUAGAGUCUCCUGAAGGAACGUUGAAGACGACGACGUUGAUAGGCCGGGUGUGUAAGCGCAGCGAUGCGUUGAGCUAACCGGUACUAAUGAACCGUGAGGCUUAACCUUACAACGCCGAAG
rnacentral:rRNA from 1 species